rnacentral:rRNA from 1 species
UACGAAGGGGGCUAGCGUUGUUCGGAAUUACUGGGCGUAAAGCGCACGUAGGCGGUUUUUCAAGUCGGGGGUGAAAUCCCAGGGCUCAACCCUGGAACUGCCCUCGAUACUGGAUGACUCGAGUUCGUGAGAGGUUGGUGGAAUGCCGAGUGUAGAGGUGAAAUUCGUAGAUAUUCGGCGGAACACCAGUGGCGAAGGCGGCCAACUGGCACGAUACUGACGCUGAGGUGCGAAAGCGUGGGGAGCAAACAGG